rnacentral:rRNA from 1 species
GGAGUCUGGUCCGUGUCUCAGUACCAGUGUGGGGGACCUUCCUCUCAGAACCCCUACGCAUCGUCGGCCAGGUGGGCCGUUACCCCGCCUGCAACCUAAUCAGACGCAUCCCCAUCCCAUAGCGAUGAAUCUUUCGUCCAGGUCAGAUGUCCUCUCUGGACAGCAUAGGGAAUUAAUCCGACUUUCGCCGGG